rnacentral:misc_RNA from 1 species
AAAUGCGAUAAGUAAUGUGAAUUGCAGAAUUCAGUGAAUCAUCGAAUCUUUGAAUGCACAUUGCGCCCGCCAGUAUUCUGGCGGGCAUGCCUGUUCGAGCGUCAUUACAACCCUCAGGCCCCCGGGCCUGGCGUUGGGGAUCGGCGGAAGCCCCCUGCGGGCACAACGCCGUCCCCCAAAUACAGUGGCGGUCCCGCCGCAGCUUCCAUUGCGUAGUAGCUAACACCUCGCAACUGGAGAGCGGCGCGGCCACGCCGUAAAACACCCAACUUCUGAAUGUUGACCUCGAAUCAGGUAGGAAUACCCGCUGAACUUAAGC